UACAGAGGGUGCAAGCGUUAAUCGGAAUUACUGGGCGUAAAGCGUGCGUAGUCGGUUAUCUAAGUCAGGUGUGAAAUCCCCGGGCUCAACCCGGGAACUGCGUCCGAUACUGGAAGGCUUGAAUCCGGGAGAGGGAUGUGGAAUUCCAGGUGUAGCGGUGAAAUGCGUAGAUAUCUGGAGGAACACCGGUGGCGAAGGCGACAUCCUGGACCGGUAUUGACGCUGAGGCGCGAAAGCCAGGGGAGCAAACGGG
rnacentral:rRNA from 1 species